rnacentral:lncRNA from 1 species
AUCUCUUGGGUGAUUAGCCUUUGUUUAAAUACAAAGAGGAAUCUACAAAGGUAUAUAAAUCUCAACUCACUUUGUUUUGAGUUGAUUAAUGGUUCACCAAUCUACUAGGCUUUGAAUUUCAUGGUUAAUGUUUUGUUUUUAAGUGCAUGCUAGCAUGAUUCCGCCUUUAAUUGUUAAUUGCAUGCUUAUUGAUGUUGCUUAAAUGAACUUGUUUUCAUAAAAUAAUUCCUUCACAUCUAGUCUAAUUCUGUGUUUGUUAGUAUUAGGGAUUAGCAUUAGUGGGACUAGGAGGGACUCGUGUUCACUAAAGCCUUCGCUAAAGGGUCUUAGCGAGACCCUCCAAAAACAGUCGAACUGUUAAGACCAGCUUCGUUCGCUCCUCUAAUCCUCUGCGUGCUUCGUCAAUCUCGCCCUUUCUGCUUUCAGACCCAUGGAUCUCAUCCUUCGCACAUCAACAGCAAUAGCGGUCUCGCACUGCAAAUGCAAGACGACAAUCUCGCACUACAAAAUCAGGACAACGUUCUCAACCACAUGCUCCAACUGUAGACCAAACAUCUCAACCUUUCGAAGAAUUUACAAACAUGAAAAAAUGAAAAGAGAAAUUGACAAAGCAAAUCAAAUCAAAGGCAGAUAUAGGCUUUCCUAAAACUCAUAUAUGUUGCAAAUCAAAGCAAAUGAUUGAAUAAAAGAAACAUCUCAACAUUUCAACAGUGACAAUUGAAGGAACAAAGCCAAGUAGUAACAACUUGAUCAGAGGAGAAAUAACCCAUCAGCUUGUUUCUAGGGAAUGUGAAAUUUUGCAGAAAAAUUUUGCGGAAAAUAGUUUUGAAGGAUCUAAAAUUUUGCAAAAAAAGGAUGGAGAAAUGAAGAGAAUAUGACGGGGUCAAAGAGGGAGAAAAGCAAAGAAGUUUCUAGGGAGUGGGAGAGUUCUUAAGAAAAUGAAUAAUGUUGCAUAAUAAUAAAAUAUUAAUAAGUAUGUAUUAAAAUAUUAAUAUAUAUAUGUUUUAAAUAAUGUAAUAUUAAAGUUUGUUAUUAUUUUGAUUUUUAAUCCGACACUGCACCAAACGCUUCA